ensembl:lncRNA
AAGGGUUGCGGCUGCCUAAGAAAAUAUUUAUAUCUGCUGUCCCUAUUCUGAGUUCUCUUUACUUCUAACUAAUCAACCCUUCAUUGCUCCAAAUCCUGUCAUAUAGUAAAUAAUUUGCUUUUCCUAUUUAUUAGCCUGCACAGGACCUUUAGUUGUGGCAUGCGAAUGCUUCAUUUGGCAUGUGGGAUCUAGUUGCCUGACGGGGGAUCGAACCUGGGCCCCCUGCAUUGAGAACACAGAGUCUUAGCCACUGGACCACCAUGGAAGUCCCAUUAAUUCUUUAUAUUAAACUUCUACUGCUGAAUUACUGUGUGGUUUCUCUUUCCUGAUUAGACCCAGACUGGAACACAUAGGUUGGGGCUCAAAUUCUGAUUAUCCUGGGAAGGUGUCUCUUGAAGGGGGGUUGUGGGGAGGAGUUGGAGACAUUUGGGUUACAUGUACUUUCCCAAGUCUGCAGUAAUCAGAAAAAAAAUUUUUUUGGAAAAAGUGUGAAAAAACAUGACACAAGAAGCCAGGGUGACAAGCAUGUAAAGAUCCCAGGGUGGUAGGCCUGUGCUAAGAUGAUGCUUGAGUUGGGAACUGGAGAGUGAGUGGGGUGGGAGAUGUUUCCCCGGGCAGAGUCACGUCAGCCCCAGUGGAGACAGGACCAGGGAGGGUCUAUGCAGGGAAGAGGGGUCCAUGUGAGCAGAGCCUGUGGCAGUUGAAAAUGGACAGCCAGGUGUGUCUGAGAGCAGGAAAUCCUUGGGACCUCAUUUAAAAGUUGCAGCUGUGUGUGGGAAGGUUGCUUCCACCUGUCUUUAAGCCUGGCGCCAGCUGGCAGAAGCUUCCUUGAAGAUCUCGGACCCUCUCCAGCUUUCUGGAGUUUAACUGAGGAAGGGCCCUGGCUGGUGUGCCCUGAAAUUCAUGUCUGGGUUUGUGCACAAGGCCACACUUCUUGUCUGCCUGCUCCCAGCUAACCACUGGUGGAGACACGGGUAUUAAGGCAGGCAGAGCACGGAGUUCACAGGAAGGCGCUUACUCGAAGCUCGCGGAGUUCUCGCUGUUGAUUAGUUGGGGACGUCCUAGAAAGAAAGGGCAGUAGGCGAUCGCGAGGCAGAUUCUUUAUGGUUUGAACCACUGCUGCUGCUGCUAAGUUUCUUCAGUCGUGUCCAACCCUGUGUGACCCCACAGACGGCAGCCCACCAGGCUCCACCGUCCCUGCGAUUCUCCAGGCAAGAACAGGAGUGGGUUGCCAUUUCCUUCUCCAAUGCAUGAAAGUGAAAAGUGAAAUGCAAGUCGCUCAGUCGUGUCCAACUCUUUGCGACCCCAUGGACUGCAGCCUACCAGGCUCCUCCAUCCAUGGGAUUUUCCAGGCAAGAGUACUGGAGUGGGGUGCCAUUGCCUUCUCCGUUGAACCACUGGGGAAACCCCAUUUUACAUAUACUAUUUUCUACAAUUAUCUAAAUAAAAUACAUAAUCUAUUAUAUAAUCUAUUAUCUAGUUCUCCUAUAUAUGAUGUAUGAUCUAUUAUAUGUGAUAUAAAAUCUAUUAUGUAUAAUCUUCUACUACAGAUAAUGUCAAUAUAUGUAUAAUAUUCCUAUCUGAAAUAUAAGCUGAUGGGAAGCAGAUGUCAUAAAUCACUCUCAUACCCUGUAGCACCCAGAACAGUAAGUUUUUUUUCCCUCAGCAAAUAC